UACGGAGGGUGCAAACGUUGCUCGGAAUCAUUGGGCGUAAAGCGCACGUAGGCGGACCAUCAAGUCGGAUGUGAAAUCCCUCGGCUUAACCGAGGACAUGCAUUCGAAACUGAUGGCCUUGAGUACGAAAGAGGAUCGCGGAAUUCCCGGUGUAGAGGUGAAAUUCGUAGAUAUCGGGAGGAACACCAGUGGCGAAGGCGGCGAUCUGGGUCGAUACUGACGCUGAGGUGCGAAAGCGUGGGGAGCAAACAGG
rnacentral:rRNA from 1 species